rnacentral:lncRNA from 1 species
UCAAAUUAGAGAAAUGAUCAUGUGAUUAAAUUCUCAUUGUUCAUUCUUCAAAAAAAUGUAAUAUAAAUUAAUGAAAGAUAAUGUACUGACUUUAUAUAAAUCUUUAUAAUUAUGGAUAGUGCAUACACAUUUUUACUCAUGAAAUUAAUACAAGUAAAUCAACAAUCCAAUUGAACAAAGAACACAUAAAAACUGAGGUAGAAGACUGACAUAAGUAAUACCAAUGGUUCUAUUUCUACAUAAAAGCAGACAAGGAGGGUAACAUACAUAUCAAUUGGGAAAGGAAAGUGAAAGGAGUUGUUUUUGUUGUGCCUAAAUUCCAAGACAUAAUUAAUGAAACACAAAACUUGGAACAUAUAACAGAUAUACUAAACAACAUGAUGCAAACCCAAGAAAUUAAAGGAGAAUAAAAUUAAGCCAAGCAUCAGACUUGCCUAGAGGGAACAUAUAUAUUAUUUUAUAUAUUCCUCAGGUAUCUACUUCGUUUCUUCUUGUUGUAUUAUUUGGCCAUGGAUCCAACAACAGCAUGAACCCCAGAAGAAAGUAGUUGUAAGGUGAUGUUGUUUUCAACCUUAAGAGGCUCAUCAUCAUCUUUCCCGCAGAAUUAUUAGAAGGGGGAGAAGAAGUAGUAACAAGGAGUUGAGGGCGAAAGAGAACCUUAUAUACAUGGGACAUUGUUUUCAUAAGUAGACGGAUGGAAAAAAAAUGAUUUUUUA